CGCGGCCUAUCAGCUUGUUGGUGGGGUAACGGCCUACCAAGGCAUCGACGGGUAGCUGGUCUGAGAGGACGAUCAGCCACACUGGGACUGAGACACGGCCCAGACUCCUACGGGAGGCAGCAGUGGGGAAUAUUGCGCAAUGGGCGAAAGCCUGACGCAGCAACGCCGCGUGGGGGAUGAAGGCUUUCGGGUUGUAAACCCCUCUCAGUGAUGACGAAAAUGACGGUAAUCACAGAAGAAGCCCCGGCCAACUACGUGCCAGCAGCCGCGGUAACACGUAGGGGGCAAGCGUUGUCCGGAUUUAUUGGGCGUAAAGAGCUCGUAGGCGGUUGCGUAAGUCGGACGUGAAAACUCAGGGCUCAACCCUGAGAUGCCGUUCGAUACUGCGCUGACUAGAGUCCGGUAGGGGAGCAUGGAAUUCCUGGUGUAGCGGUGAAAUGCGCAGAUAUCAGGAGGAACACCAGUGGCGAAGGCGGUGCUCUGGGCCGGAACUGACGCUGAGGAGCGAAAGCAUGGGUAGCAAACAGGAUUAGAUACCCUGGUAGUCCAUGCCGUAAACGUUGGGCACUAGGUGUGGGACCUACUUAACGGGUUCCGUGCCGUAGCUAACGCAUUAAGUGCCCCGCCUGGGGAGUACGG
rnacentral:rRNA from 1 species